rnacentral:rRNA from 1 species
AGAGUUUGAUCCUGGCUCAGGAUGAACGCUAGCGGCAGGCUUAACACAUGCAAGUCGAGGGGCAGCGUGGAGUAGCAAUACUCUGACGGCGACCGGCGAAAGGGUGAGUAACGCGUGAGCAACAUACCCGGUAGUGGAGGAUAGUCGAUGGAAACGUCGCGUAAUACUCCGUAACAACAGGGACCGCAUGAUCCUUGUUUAAUAGAUUUAUUGCUAUCGGAUUGGCUCGCGUACCAUUAGCUAGUUGGCGGGGUAACGGCCCACCAAGGCGACGAUGGUUAGGGGUUCUGAGAGGAAGGUCCCCCACAUUGGAACUGAGACACGGUCCAGACUCCUACGGGAGGCAGCAGUGAGGAAUAUUGGACAAUGGCCGGAAGGCUGAUCCAGCCAUGCCGCGUGCGGGAAGACGGCCCUAUGGGUUGUAAACCGCUUUUGUUGGGGAGCAAUAAGGUCCACGUGUGGAUCGAUGAGAGUACCCAGCGAAUAAGCAUCGGCUAACUCCGUGCCAGCAGCCGCGGUAAUACGGAGGAUGCGAGCGUCAUCCGGAUUUAUUGGGUUUAAAGGGAGCGCAGGCGGACAGUUAAGCGUGACGUGAAAUGCAGCGGCUCAACCGUAUGAAGUGCGUCGCGAACUGGCAGUCUUGAGUGAGUACGAUGUAGGCGGAAUUCGUGGUGUAGCGGUGAAAUGCUUAGAUAUCACGAAGAACUCCGAUUGCGAAGGCAGCCUACAAGUCCUUUACUGACGCUAAAGCUCGAAGGUGCGGGUAUCGAACAGGAUUAGAUACCCUGGUAGUCCGCACGGUAAACGAUGGAUGCCCGCUGUUUGCGAUAUAGUGUGAGCGGCCAAGCGAAAGCGUUAAGCAUCCCACCUGGGGAGUACGCCGGCAACGGUGAAACUCAAAGGAAUUGACGGGGGCCCGCACAAGCGGAGGAACAUGUGGUUUAAUUCGAUGAUACGCGAGGAACCUUACCCGGGCUUGAACUGCCGACGAACGAUACAGAGAUGUUGAGGCCCUUCGGGGCGCCGGUGGAGGUGCUGCAUGGUUGUCGUCAGCUCGUGCCGUGAGGUGUCGGCUUAAGUGCCAUAACGAGCGCAACCCCUCUCUUCAGUUGCCAUCACUUCGGGUGGGCACUCUGGAGACACUGCCACCGUAAGGUGUGAGGAAGGUGGGGAUGACGUCAAAUCAGCACGGCCCUUACGUCCGGGGCUACACACGUGUUACAAUGGGUGGUACAGAGCGUCGGCCGCCGGCAACGUCGGUCCAAUCGUGAAAUCCAUCCUCAGUUCGGACUGGGGUCUGCAACCCGACCCCACGAAGCUGGAUUCGCUAGUAAUCGCGCAUCAGCCAUGGCGCGGUGAAUACGUUCCCGGGCCUUGUACACACCGCCCGUCAAGCCAUGAAAGCCGGGGGCGCCUGAAGUCCGUGACCGCGAGGGUCGGCCUAGGGUGAAACCGGUGAUUGGGGCUAAGUCGUAACAAGGUAACCGUA